AACGCCCGGGUAUUACGAGCCUUAGCUUAAAACCCAAGGGACUUGACGGUACCCCACCCAACUAGAGGAGCCUGUUCUAUAGUCGACAACCCACGAUAUACCCAACCGUUUCUUGCCUCAGCCUGUAUACCUCCGUCGCAAGCUUACCCUGUGAAUGCACAUAGUGGGCUCAAAGGUUUGACACCCAAACGUCAGGUCAAGGUGCAGCCUAUGAAAUGGAAGCAAUGGGCUACAAUUUCUAAUCUAGAAUAAGCAGAAUACUACAUGAAACGUAGUAGUAAAGAAGGAUUUAGUAGUAAAUAGGGAAUAGAGAGCCUUAUUAAACCCAACUCUGGGGUA
rnacentral:rRNA from 1 species